rnacentral:rRNA from 1 species
UACGUAGGGUGCAAGCGUUACUCGGAAUUACUGGGCGUAAAGCGUGCGCAGGCGGUUGUGUAAGACAGAUGUGAAAUCCCCGGGCUCAACCUGGGAACUGCAUUUGUGACUGCACAGCUGGAGUGCGGCAGAGGGGGAUGGAAUUCCGCGUGUAGCAGUGAAAUGCGUAGAUAUGCGGAGGAACACCGAUGGCGAAGGCAAUCCCCUGGGCCUGCACUGACGCUCAUGCACGAAAGCGUGGGGAGCAAACAGG